UUUGCCUGUGAGACAUUCAAUCUUAGCAGCUCUAACAAUGUACAACUGUUGGGUGACACGCAAUAGUGUCAUUCUGCAAAUUAUGAAAGAAAGGUACAAAAGGAAUGUGACAGUAAAGCCAUGAGCCUGUAAUCAUACACAUGAUUUAAGAAGGGAGGAGUCAUCUUGAUGUCAUCUGAAACAGAUGUGAACCUGAAGAUCACUGUGUAGGGUAGGACCACAUAGGUGUUGAAUGUGGUGGUUGAGACUCAUGAAAGGGAUCAAGUCACUUAAUUACCCAGCAUGGAAGGUAUUACAUUAGCACACACACACUUAAUUAGGCCAGCACGGACCAGAAUAGGGGAGGCAUUAUCAAUGGAGUAAUACUCCAUCUGCAGUGACCAAUACUUGUCUUCCAAUGCUCACCUCCAUAGCUGAGCAUUCCCAGCCCUGAGAAGCUGGAAUUAUGAUUGCCACGGUGUAGAUUUUGCUGAGAAGCACGAUAGGUUGUACACGUGCCCUCUAAACUGGGCAAGACCUGUGAGGGAGAUGCUGAGCUUAAGGUUGUGGAGAACACCACUAAGCUGCUCUCUACAUUUAGGGAGGUAAUCUCUAUCCUUGUCUUUGUGGUUCCAGUAGUCACAGUAUCCUGAUGCCUCAAGGGGAAGAAGAACACACAACUUGGUUCCUUGUCUGAGCACAGUGUUUCUCCUUGUGAGCUUUGCAUCAUUGUGCUCUCUGCACACAUAGCCAUGAUGGUGUCCUUUAGCUUUCAUAUUUGAAAAUACAUUAGGAAAAACUUACUGCUUUAGUCUGUUCCUAGAUUCUCACAUCUUCUGCCUUAUUCUUGUGUUUCCUGCCACCAUCUGAGGUCUUCCUAUUGUGUUCCCAUGGCUCUGAAAAUCCAUGUUUUUGUUCGGUCAUUUGCAACCUUGGCCUAUGGGCCAUAGUACUGAUAAAGCAAUGAUAAAGCAGUGUACUCUGAUUUAUCAGAGUAACAUCAAGGUAUCCUUGCCAGCCCUGAAAGCAGAGAGCUUGCUUUAGCUUUUCACCUUGUCUGCCCAGAAGCAGUCGUUUGAGGAUGUUGCAAACAAGUGGUGGUGGAGCAAGAGAACCCUGACACUAAACAGGGAGAGGUAUUCCAGAUUUAGAGUGUGAGGUGCAAUCUAUUAGGCUUUGCCCUAAUACUUUUUAAGUGCAGCAGCUGUGGUGCCGAAGCACAUCCGUUGGAAUUUCCGUGUGUCACAUCCUGGAGCUGUAGGGGUUUGUAGCUGUUCAGAUGCCCGACUGUCUUACCUGCCACACGGUCACACCUGCUCAUGCUGUGCUUCUGCACGGCUCCGGGGGACAUCUGGUGGAGAAAGCAGUCCUGGCAUUCCGCAAGGAAUUCCGCAGAAUCCAGGAUGCAGCGCAGUCCAGGCAGCACGACAGAGAUGGCAGUAACAGCUUGCAUGUCCAGCAAUUCAGGGAGCAAGAUAACAAAAAACUAGGAAGUACGGAGGCAGAAAACUAAUCCAAUGUCACCAACUGCCUAAUUGUGUGGAUAAACUUUUUUCAUACACAAAUGCUACCCUGGUUUGAAAAGUAAAAGGGUAUGUUUAGGCUCAUGUUUAUGCAACUAAAAAGUGCUUCUUGACCUGCCUGAAAUGGUCAUGGGAUCUAUUCAGAAAUCGUAGGAUUUGUUGUUUCUUUUGGUAAAAGUGGGGAGUGAUCUUUUAUCUGUAUUCCAAAACAAAUAAACAGCAUUUGCUUUGAAGAAGCUGUGCUAAUCCUAAUUGGUUGAUGACCUAGUCCCAAAGCUGACAGAUUUUUCUUUUCUUUUCCAAAACUAGGAAAAUAGGAUGACCAAACAGCAUGCAGGUCCUUUUCUGAGGAACAAAAGCCUUGCAUUUCAUGUCCAGCAUUUAAGUUGUUACGUAAGUACAAAACAGAUUUGAUUUCCUUACACUAAGUUCCUUCCCAUGUUACGACAGGACUCAAAACACUGAUGCUUCUCCUUCAAGCUUGUCAGUGCUCCAUUACAAGGUGCUACAUGUCAUAUACAAAUUAAAAUCCUUAUUGACAGGAGGAAAAGUGGCAGCAAGACUUCAGCCCUGAACAUGAGGAGAGCAGACUUCACGCUGCUGAAAGUAGCUAAAUGAGUAAAAUCCCCUGGCAAAACACUUUUGAAGGUACUGGGGUCCACCAGUGCUGGUCACUUUUUAAGCACUAUCUCCUAAAACCACAGGAGCAGGCAGUUCCAAAAUGCUGUCAGUGAAGCAGGUGAGACAGAAGGUCAACUUGGCUGAGCAGAAAUCUUCUUUUGGAGCUACAGCAAAAUAAGAAGGUGUGUGCCCAGUGGAAGCAAGGUUGGAUGACAUGGGAGGAACACAGAGAUGCUGCUUGCUGCUGUAGAGAGAAAAUUGGUGUGGCCAAAGCCUAAUCAGAGUUGAAUUUGGCCAGAACUGUGAGGGGCAAUCAAAAGAGGUUCUUUUAAAUAAGUUAAUAGCAAAAGGCAGUCCAGAAAUAACAUUCCCCUGUUACAGGAUGGGGAUGGUUACCUCACAAACAAGGACAGAGACAAGGCAGAGAUGUUUAAUGCAUACUUUGCCUCUGUCCUCAACAUGAUGAUGGAUCAAGGGGGUCUCAGUGCCCUGAGCUGGAGGACUAUGGCUGUGAGACUGAUGAACUCUCAGUCGACCCUAAACUUAUGCAGGAUCUGCUGCUCCAGCUGAAUCCCUACAAAUCUAUGGGCCCAGAAUCCUCAAAUUGCUGCUGAAAACCACUGAAAACAUUGCAAAACCUCUCUCGAUGAUUUUUGAGUGGUCUUGGGAAUCCGGAGGGGUCCCAGCUGACUGGAAGCUGGAAUCUGUCCCAAUUUUCAAGAAGUGCAAGAAGAAUGACCUUGGAAAGUAUAGGCCUGUGAGUCUCACUUAAGUGCCUGGUAAAAUGAUGGAGAAGAUUAUUCUGGGAGGUUUUGAUAAACACCUGAAGGACACAUUGGUCACAGCUAGCGUGGCUUCAUGAGGGGAAAGUCCUGUUUGUCAGACCUGAUAUCCUUUUACAGCAAAGUAACCCACCUAACUGAUGUAACAUUUUUGGAUUUUAGUAAAGCUUUUGAUCUUGUCUG